AAUAUACUCCGUCCGUUCAGAAUUACUUGUCAUCAAAAUGAAAAGAAAUUAAUGUAUCUAAAAUUAAAAUAUGUUUAGAAUCAUCCUUUUCUAUGGCAAGUAAUUUCGAACGGAGGGAAUAUAUA
rfam:Hordeum vulgare subsp. vulgare, WGS project CAJW01000000 data, contig: morex_contig_139433